GGUUAGGGUUAUGGUUAGGUUAGGGUUAGGAGUAGGGUUAGGGUACAUCUAACCCUACUCCUAACCCCAACCCUACCCUAACCUAACCCU